rnacentral:rRNA from 1 species
CCUACGCGAGGCAGCAGUGAGGAAUAUUGGUCAAUGGGAGAGAUCCUGAACCAGCCAAGCCGCGUGAGGGAAGACGGCCCUAUGGGUUGUACACCUCUUUUGUCGGAGAACAAAACCCGGGACGUGUCCCGGAAUGCGUGUAUCCGAAGAAAAAGCAUCGGCUAAUUCCGUGCCCGCAGCCGCGGUAAUACGGAGGAAGCGAGCGGUAGCCGGAUUUAUUGGGUUUAAAGGGUGCGUAGGCGGUCCGUUAAGUCAGCGGUAAAAUUGCGGGGCUCAACCCCGGCGAGCCGUUGAAACUGGCAGACUUGAGUUGGCGAGAAGUACGCGGAAUGCGCGGUGUAGCGGUGAAAUGCAUAGAUAUCGCGCAGAACUCCGAUUGCGAAGGCAGCGUACCGGCGCCAGACUGACGCUGAGGCACGAAAGCGUGGGGAUCGAACAGGAUUAGAUACCCCGGUAGUC